CNGCAGGAGACACACAAGUCCCAAGACUGC
rnacentral:piRNA from 1 species